rnacentral:rRNA from 1 species
CCUACGGGGGGCUGCAGUGGGGAAUAUUGGACAAUGGGGGGAACCCUGAUCCAGCCAUGCCGCGUGUGUGAAGAAGGCCCUCGGGUUGUAAAGCACUUUCAGUGAGGAAGAACGCCUGGUGGUUAAUACCCAUCAGGAAAGACAUCACUCACAGAAGAAGCACCGGCUAACUCCGUGCCAGCAGCCGCGGUAAUACGGAGGGUGCGAGCGUUAAUCGGAAUUACUGGGCGUAAAGCGCGCGUAGGUGGCUUGAUAAGCCGGUUGUGAAAGCCCGGGCUCAACCUGGGAACGGCAUCCGGAACUGUCAAGCUAGAGUGCAGGAGAGGAAGGUAGAAUUCCCGGUGUAGCGGUGAAAUGCGUAGAGAUCUGGAGGAAUACCAGUGGCGAAGGCGGCUUUCUGGACUGACACUGACACUGAGGUGCGAAAGCGUGGGUAGCAAACAGGAUUAGAUACCCCUGUAGUC